UACGGAGGGUGCAAGCGUUAUCCGGAUUCACUGGGUUUAAAGGGUGCGUAGGCGGGUUGGUAAGUCAGUGGUGAAAUCUCCGUGCUUAACAUGGAAACUGCCAUUGAUACUACUGAUCUUGAAUUUUCAGGAGGUAAGCGGAAUAUGUCAUGUAGCGGUGAAAUGCUUAGAUAUGACAUAGAACACCAAUUGCGAAGGCAGCUUACUACAGGAAUAUUGACACUGAUGCACGAAAGCGUGGGGAUCAAACAGG
rnacentral:rRNA from 1 species